AUUGAACGCUGGCGGCAUGCCUUACACAUGCAAGUCGAACGGCAGCACGGGAGCAAUCCUGGUGGCGAGUGGCGAACGGGUGAGUAAUAUAUCGGAACGUGCCCAGUAGUGGGGGAUAGCCCGGCGAAAGCCGGAUUAAUACCGCAUACGACCUACGGGUGAAAGCGGGGGAUCGCAAGACCUCGCGCUAUUGGAGCGGCCGAUAUCAGAUUAGCUAGUUGGUGGGGUAAAGGCCUACCAAGGCGACGAUCUGUAGCUGGUCUGAGAGGACGACCAGCCACACUGGGACUGAGACACGGCCCAGACUCCUGCGGGAGGCAGCAGUGGGGAAUUUUGGACAAUGGGCGAAAGCCUGAUCCAGCCAUGCCGCGUGUGGGAAGAAGGCCUUCGGGUUGUAAACCACUUUUGUCAGGGAAGAAACGGUUCUUACUAAUACUGAGAGCUAAUGACGGUACCGGAAGAAUAAGGACCGGCUAACUACGUGCCAGCAGCCGCCGUAA
rnacentral:rRNA from 1 species